UCUUUAACGGCCGCAGUACNCUGACUGUGCAAAGGUAGCAUAAUAAUUUGUCCUUUAUUUGAGGACUAGAAUGAAAGGCGAAAUGGGGAAAAACUGUCUUGUGGAUUAUAUUUAAAAUUUACUCAAAGGGUGAAAAUGCCCUUAAAUUCUACAUAAGACGAGAAGACCCUUAGAAUUAUAAUUAAAGGUGAAUAAUUAGCACUUUAUUUUUGUUGGGGCAACACUAACCUUUUAAACGGUUAAACCAUCAUUUUACUGGUAUUUAAAUAAUAAGUAAGGGUUUAAUUACCUGAGGGAUAACAGCAUAAUUUACUUAUAAGAUUGUGACCUCGAUGUUGGACUAGGGUCUUUCUUUAUCAGAGGUAAUGAAAGAUGGUUCUGUUCGAACUUACUUACCCUACGUGAUCUGAG
rnacentral:rRNA from 1 species